CCCCUCCCCGUGCAUAUCUGCACACACGCUCCCAGGGAGCCCCGGCGGACAGACGCGAGAAAACAGAGGGGCCCCGAGCGCCUACGUGGAGCGCGCACACACUGAUGCCACGCUUUCCACGGUGGGAAGGAAAUGAAGCGCGCAGUGGCCAGAGCCCGGCGGAACUAGUUUUCCACUCGUGAUGCUCAAAGUGGCAAAAAUAUUAUAGAAGAAAACUAUUGGAUUGUCAAGUUGUAUUAUAAAUACAAGACCUGGAUGCAAUGGACUCAUGCAUAAUCUUUCUGUGUAAGACAUUUGCCAUCUGCCUACCACUCCCAUCUUGAGUAGAGAAGGCUGCUGGAAGACACGAUACAGGCCUCAAAUAUGUCAAAGAUUCUUCAUCAAGGAAAGAAAAAAGCGUUUUUCUGCUUGCCAUGUCUGAAAGAAUCAAUCUACUGGUAUAGGUGUGUGUGCACAGAAAUGAAGAUAUUGACAUGAGAAAAUAACAGUGGAAUCAGAAGAAACAAGAAAUGGUAUACUGACAAAAGUAAUGUUUUUGUUAUUGUUAGAUGUUUUAAUCUUUGUGCUUCAGGCCUCAUUUCAUAUUUCGUACUGCAAAAUGAAAAACAAACAUAUGAAAGAAGAGAAUUGUUUUCUUUUCCUUUUGAGCUGCUAUUUAAAUGAGUUCCUAUUACCGUUUGUAAGAACUACAUUUUAGGGAAUGUAGCAAAUCCCAACAAGUAAACAAAUACAUCUUAAAUCUAAUCAUUACAAGAUUAUUCCUGAUAUUUAUAAUACCCUGGCCUUUAAGUUUUCUUUUAGAACAGCUGCAGGGCUUCUGGACAAGAUGAGUAGCUCUUAAUCGAACGGCUGAAAAACUCCCAAGAAGUGAUUUGUCAUCUUAGGCAAGGCAUUUUUAAAAUAACCCAAUGGCACAUGAAACUAGGCUUAAAUGCCAUUAUGAUAAAAACCACUUAAGCUACUGAUAAUCAUCCUAUGUGAAUUGGCACUCUAUAUGCUUACAGACAAAUCUGGACAUGCUUCAAUUACCUUUUCAGCAUAGCUCUGAAUACUAUUAAUACUAUGAAAAAUGUUAUAUAUGUAAAUUACAAAAAUACCACAGUAAGUAAAAAGUGUAUGUUCAUCAUUGUAAUUAGUGGCUUGUGCCAAGAAAGCAUCUUGUGAAAGCAGAUAAUUGACUUUUUUAAAUUAGAGGUGAAAGAAACCUGCAAGAUCAUUUUAUUAACCGUGACAAACUUGGCAUGCUGCUAUUACAUUUUAUCUAGAAAGAAAUGCUAAUUCACUGAUUCAUAACAGAUACCUCGUUUCAGUGUUCUUUUCUAUUUAGUAAUGCUGAUGAGUUCUUUGAGUUGAUCACCUGUAAAUUGCUCUUGUGAAGUAGUCUUACCCCUAAUUAUUAUUAUAGGGCUACCUAUAUUACCUUUUUUAUCAAGAUGCUGGUCUUUGGGCUGAUGAAGAAGGAAGUUCUUACACAUUUAGGUUCCAGAAGUCUGGAUAAUACUAGUUUUGCUUCCAGGCUCUUAAUGUAAUGCUGAAUAUGUCUGAAUUUUAUUGAAAUUCUCCGUUCUGAAGUGUAACAAAUACAUCUUCACUGACUUUCACUGAAGAAUCAACGAGACUAAUUCAGGUGCAGAGAAUUUCCACAGAGGCCUUCAAAGAUCUCUCCCCAUUGGCUAUAUGGAGUCUUCACUGAAUAAAAGCUGGUAAAAGCUGCAUUUUCAUCUUCAAGAGACAUCUACUGUUGAAAUCUUUCUAAGCCUAGCCAAGUUUAUUUUCUGCCUUAUCACACUUGAAUAUUUUUUACCAAAGGAAAAACAAAAGAAGGCACUUAACAUGCUUGUGACCUAAAUAUUUUACUAUAGGAAGAUUGCAUUCACUUUACACCUGGGCAGCCAGGCUUUGUUCUUUGUGGCACUGUAUGUCCAAACCACCUCUCCAAUGGAAGCAGAGUUUAUUAUUCUUCAGUAUUUUUAAAGUCUCAUACCUAGUGCUUUUCAAAGUAAUGGAAUCUGAACUGGAGUCAAAAGAUGCGAGUACUCAGUAUAGUUGUCAUUUACUUGAACAUUCCUUAAAGGUAUAUUUAAAUGAUCAUAGGUUGUGCAAGUUCAGAUAAUUCAUUUUCUAGUGAAGCAAAUACUGACUUCAAAAAUUUGCUAUGUCUGAAAUGAUAUGCUGCUACCGUUAGAUAAGUACUUCCAAAGCAUGAAGAUAAUGACGUGUUGUGUGCCCAAGUGUGUUAAGAGUGGUUAAAAGGCAAAGUCUUCUGGGAUAGCCCUGGGGACCUGAAGGGGUGGGGGGAAUCUGAUGCGUUUUGUCCACAACGUCUAAUAAGGAAGAGCCAUGUUUAUCCCUCACACUUCUGCCUGAGAGGGCUAGCUGGCACAGUGAUACUAGAGAGCAUGUUGAUAAUUUAAGUGACAUGGACCACCAGUAGUCUAAUGCUCAGUUUUUAUUCCUGGCCCAGUUCUAUUAGGCAGCUUAGAAAUAGCCCUUUGAACCCAUGCUUUAGUGAUAUGUUCAUCUGCUGAAGAAAAUAUGUUCUCACUUCUUUCACGUUUAUUUGGAGGCUAAAGUAUAAAGUCUGCCUGGCUGUGGUGUUUGAACAAGAGAUAAUGUAUGGAGUCCUAGAAAAAAUGGUGUAUCUUUUUGUCUCAAAAUUUUAUGAUUCUCUUUCUUCAGAAGAGGAUAUCCUAUCCAUAGCACACUUGCAUUCAUGAAGAAACCCAAACAUGGGAGACUUCUGUGAUACUCUUUGGUCUCUGCAAGUCAUCAGAGUUAGCAUAAGUUCCUUCACCAAUUCUUUGACAGAUACUCUAAUUUAAACUGGAAUUUUCCUAUCCGUAUGUCGUAAAGAACACAAGUGAGUCAAGAAAUCAGUUGUAUACCUUGUAAUAACUUCCUCAAAAACCUUAUUCCUAUACUAGAAGACAUUAUUUCUUCUUGUAUUACCAAACAUUAACUUAUAACUAGCUUUCCAAGUCAUUAUGUAUUUAAGUAGACAAGAUACACGAUAAGGGAUAAUUAUGAGUGAUGAUACAGACACCAGCUAGAUGAACAUAAACAAACAUGAUUAAAUAUGUAUUUAUUUUUUAUAAGUUUUUACUAGAGCUACCAAUAUCUGCAGAAACUAUUUCUGAACAAGACUGAAUCAUUUUUGACUUUUCUGUGACUCGGUUGUGUUAGUUGAUAUCUAUGUCAGUGUGGCUGUUGGCUUCUCUUGAUUGUUAUAUAUUCGAGCUUGUCAUCAUCAGAAGAAUCAACAAGUGACCCAAUUCAGCUUGGUUUUCACCUUUCACCCACGUAAAAUUUCAAAAGGAGACUCAUUGUUUCUGCAUGUGUCGUAACCCUGUAAUUAUGAAGAAAUUCAGUAGCAAAUUACUUCCAUGGCUUUUCCCCUCCAUUCUCUGCAGUUGAAAGCAUUCUUUCAAGAGACAUUAACUAGUCUCAAUUUCCCUGUUCUUCUGAGAAUAGCACGCUAACAAAAAUAUACACUAAAUAUUUUCCUGAGAGAGAAAAUCUAGUGAAGUCAGUGGAAAUAAAUCUCUGCUCAUUAUCAGUUACAAUUUGACAUGCAUUCCUCUUAUAGCUCAGCUCCUCAUUUACGUUGGAGCGGUACACACUGGGGAGCAUCUCACAAUACUGAAGAAGUUUCUGUGUGAACAAAAUGUGUUUAAUAAUUUUUUUUUCUAGGUUCCUAGAUCUGGGCAGUCAUAGGCAUCAUCAUUAUUGCAGUACGGGAAAAAAAAUAAUGGAGCAAGUUACAGAAUGUGUCAACUUCUGACCUGUGAAAUAAAUGAUGCAAUAAAAAGCUAUCAGCUGGAUGCCAGUCUUCACCAUAUUUUAUCAACCACCAAAACAGAUUAACAUAGUUAAUAAGUUAGGAAAUACUGUCACUGGAUAUGUAUUUUACAAUAUGGUUAUUUCUGUAAUAUAUAUAGGAAAGGCUUCUGCCCAGCAUCUCAAGUGACAACAGUUACACUGUGUAGUGGACUUGUAAUAUUUGUCAUCUGCCUGAGUCAAGUAGCUUAGUUUUGAAUGUAUAAUCAAUAUGACAUUUUGGAAGGCUGCUUUUAUUUGCAGCAUGUAUUCCUAUGCUUGCCAGCUCUGAAAGUAAAAGGCAACCUGACAGUACUUUAACUAAUGAGAUCUUUGAUCUGAAAAUAUAUAAAACAACCUUCUUCCCCAAUUUUUGGUAAAUUUGUCUGAAUACCAUGAAUUGUGUAUCUAAGAAACAGGCUUCAAGCAAUUCCUUUGAGUUGACAACAACCUAUUUCUACUAACAGGGUGCAAGCAAGUUAGACAAAUGCUGGAAAACUGAGUUGACAGCUGAUGUUCCCCUUUCCACUGGCCCAUGAUUUCAAGCCAUUUUACAUCGGGGCAGUAAAAUAAUCUAGAACCUGACACUGUCAGUGGGUGAAUUAAACCUACAAAUAUUGGGCUAGAGACUUCGUGUUGAGUUCUCAUUACAACUCUGAAAUCAUUUUUUCAGAGUUUUUUCAUGUCAAAGGAAUAGCACCAGAGGAAAGAAUUGGCAUAAACAAGCCCUGUUGCACGUUAUUGAAUAGGCUGUGUACACGUUUGGUUAAAAGUUAACAUUGCUCUUUUUCUUUCCUCUGGAAGACCUUGAAUAACCACAGCUUUUAGCAAAGCUUGGCAUUGUCUUAGGUAACAGAGCUGAGGUUUAAAAUUCUUGCUAUACUGCUGCCAAAAAACAAAAACAAAAGACAACAACAACAACAACAAAAACUUGCUUUUGAGAGAGAAACUUUUAAAGUAAUUUUUUUGAUG
ensembl:lncRNA